rnacentral:lncRNA from 1 species
CAGGGAUGAAAAGCUUCUGGGCACAGUCAAGUACUUGCGAAGUCAGAGUGUGAUCGAGAUGGAAUUGACCACUCCAAGAGUUGGAGAAGAAUGAGUCGUUGUAUUUCAAUUUAGCAAAACCUUGGCCAGGGUAAUCCAUCAGAUGGAUUUGAUAUUUUGAAAUACAAUGUGGACAACUUGAUCAGAGUUGACAGUUGAACUCUGG